rnacentral:rRNA from 1 species
GGACCCGCACAAGCGGUGGAGCAUGUGGUUUUAUUCGACGAUACACGAAGAACCGUACCUGGACUGGACAUAGUAAGAACUGUCUAGAGAUAGAUUGGUGUCUGCUUGCAGGAACUUAUAUACAGGUGCUGCACGGCUGUCGUCAGCUCGUGUCGUGAGAUGUUGGGUUAAGUCCCGCAACGAGCGCAACCCUCGUCAUUAGUUGCUAACAGUUCGGCUGAGUACUCUAAUGAGACUGCCUACGCAAGUAGGAGGAAGGUGAGGACGACGUCAAGUCAUCAUGGCCCUUACGUCCAGGGCUACACACGUGCUACAAUGGGGCGUACAAAGAGCAGCAUAUACCGCGAGGUGGAGCAAAUCUCAAAAAUGUCUCCCAGUUCGGAUUGUAGUCUGCAACUCGACUACAUGAAGUUGGAAUCGCUAGUAAUCGUAGAUCAGCUAUGCUACGGUGAAUACGUUCCCGGGUCUUGUACUCACCGCCCGUCACACCAUGGGAGUUGACUCAUUCGAAGCGGGGAUGCUAAAGUAGCUACCUUCCACAGUGGAUUCAGCGACUGGGGUGAAGCGUACAAGGUAACCAAGGGCGAUUCCAGCAACUGGCGGCCG